rnacentral:lncRNA from 1 species
GGCUGCUAAACCACUCUGUGAGCCUCCUAAAAGCAGGAACCUCAACAUCCAAUGCCAGACUUACAAGCGGACUGUUCAAGGUGAAUCAUUCUUUGCCUUCCAGUGGGGUUAGUAGAUGGCUUCUAAGUGACUUGAAAUGCGUGAGAAAUACGAGCAGUAGGCUUAACUUGCUGUUGUAAUUAGUAUUACUUGCAAAAGCGUAAUCGUGUGAACUAGUAAAUCACUGAUCUCUCGGUAAAGUAUUCUUUAAAUUACGAAAUAAGAGUAUAAAAAUUAACUGUUAGUCUAGGCUAGUAGUGUAAUCUAGCUCUAUACUUUUAUUUAUUUUAUUUUACAGUACUGGGGAUUGAACUCUGGGCCUAAUGCAUGCUAGGCAAGUGCGCUACCACUCAGAUACACCUGCAGCCCUAGCCUGAAACAUUUAAAAUUAAAGAUAAUAUGUCUAAAGUUCUGUAAAUCGUUUAAAAUUUUAUAUAAGGGAAUAUUAAUAUAUUGCAGAUUUUAAAAUAUUUGUGUUUUAACAAGUAUUUCAUGUAAAAUUCAAUUAAAUAUGUGGAUGGAAAAAAUGUUCAGAAAUAAUUUCCUGGAAAAGUUUAACUUCCCUUGUUGGAUAGAUUUGCUUUCUCUUCAUGAAGAUUGAGCAACGUGACAUUUUAAAAGAAUUUUGACCACCAUAAAGCUCAAAAUUGAUAGGUAGCUCAUUUUUUUUUUUUUUUAACCUGUGUGGAAAAUUAUGACUUGUAAUCCACCUUUUACAUUUUUCCUGGUCUUUAAAAUCUGUUCUGACCUUGGGUUAUAGAAAAUAUUUAAUUUAUAUGUUAUAAUUACAUGCACUUAGGGGACUUAGUUUUUUAUAUUGUUGUAUUUUUCUCUUUUCACUGACGAUCUUUGUAAGACAUCACAAACUUUUUUUGGAAAAUGGAGAAAUAAAUGCUUUCAUCACAGUACUCUUCUUGUUUUUUCAAGGUCAAAUGUUUGCAGAGAAGAGCAGCUGAGUCUGGUGGGACCCGAUGGUCAAGCUUUGGAAACAUGGCUGUACCCUCCCAGGGUGUGUAUUGGUUAUGAAAGAAGGACCCGGUGCUACAGUGUGUGCAGACGGACAUACAGCACUGGGGAGCAGACAGUUCACGGGCGCUGCCCCGGCUGGAGCCCAUGGGCUGAUGAACUGGGCAACUGCACCGUAAUGAGGUCAUCUGCGUCUUUGAAAUGUCUCUUGACUCCUGGUUGUCAGGGGAGAACGUCCAUCUAA